rnacentral:lncRNA from 1 species
UUUUCUCCCUCCUUUCUAUUUUAUUCUUCAAACUUCUAUUAUUUUUAUCGAUAAAAACGGAAAGGUGUAGUUGAUCACCUCAAGUUGGGAUUAUCCAAAAAAAAUUGCUGUAGUUUUUUUAUACAAAGAAAAACAAUUGCUGUAGUUGAUAUACUUCAAGUUGGGAUUAUCCAAUUUUUCAUAAACAAAGAAUGUAGGUACUAGGUAAGAGUUUUAAACUAGAACUAGAAUAUAAAUUAAAUUAAGGAAUGUUUUUAAUCCAAUUUUUCAUAAACAAAGAAUGUAGGUACUAGGUAAGAGUUUUAAACUAGAACUAGAAUAUAAAUUAAAUUAAGGAAUGUUUUUAAUAAUUUGAUUUGUAAAUAGUAAAUAAGGGUACUACAGCUAAAGUAUAGGUAAUGUUGUUAACAACUGAUCAUUAUCCUUAUCUCACUAAAAAAAAAAAACUCAUCAUCCUUAUCAUCAUCUUCAAUUGUGUCUUUGUUCCUCUAUAAAUAUAAGUGAAAAUGAUUGCUCAAAAUAUAUUAGCAACAAUGUCUUUCUCACAUAUGUUUACUGCUUUUCUUUUCUCUUUGAUUGUGUGUUUGGUCAUUUCUGAAUGCCACGCUGAUGUUAAUGUUAAUGCUAGCCAUAUAUCAAAAUUAGUGAUUGAUGCACGUACUAGAAGGCCUAUUCCAGACACAUUCUUUGGAGCAUUUUUUGAGGUAAAUUAUAAUAUAUGUUUUGAUUACUGUAAAGAUUACUUAAUUAGUUAUUUGGUUAGUGACAUGACAACUUAUUAUUUAUUGAUUCAAUUAAUACAUAUUUUUUCCAGGAAAUUAAUCAUGCAGGAGCUGGGGGAUUGUGGGCAGAACUUGUGGAUAAUAGAGGUAUAUAUUGAUUGUCACUUAUUAAAAAAAAUCUUCAGUAAUUAACUCACCAACACUAAUUUUGGUGACCGAAUUAGAGAUAUGUUUCUUACAUUUCCUUUGUAAAUUAGUUUAUCUCACUAAUUUUGUGCCACUUUUUAUGUAUGAGAUAUUACCUGCUUUGAGUCUUUUUCUCCUUUANUNAAAAAGUCUCUUAGAUGGGUUGAGGUCUAACCAAGGACAAAUUCGUGAUUUAAUUAUUUUUAUUAUUCUAAAUUAAUGUUUCAGGUUUUGAAGNAGGGGGUUCCAAUGUUUCAUCAAAUAUCAAUCCAUGGAUAAUUAUUGNAGAUAAUUCAUCAUCGAUUAUCGUAUCAACUGAUCGUUCAUCUUGUUUUGAGNGUAAUAAGGUUGCUUUACGUUNAGAUGUUCUUUGUCAAGGACAAUCAUGUCCACUUGGUGGUGUUGGUAUCUCCAAUCCUGGAUUUUGGGGCAUGGUGAGUAUUAAUAUUCUAACAUUUUGUUUUGUAUAUGACAAAAAAAUUAAUGUCAUUUAUAACUAAUGUUUCUAAUAUUUUUACAAACAGAACAUUGAGCAAGGGAAAAAGUAUAAAGUGGUGUUCUAUGUUAGAUCACUUGGUCCUAUUAAUUUACAAGUUUCAUUUAUCGGAUCUGAUGAUGGAGUAAAAUUGGCUUCAACAAACAUAAGGUGAUAAUUUCAUCAUUAAUUAAUUUUUAAGCUACAUUGUAUAUUUUUAAUUUUUCAUCAAAUAAAUUGAGUUAUUGUAACUAAAAUUAACUAAUUGAGUUAUUAAUUAAUCGAUGUCAGUGCUUUUGGAGUUAAUGUUACAAAGUGGAGUAGGAUGGAGACAAUUCUUGAAGCUAAUGGUACAAAUCAUAAUUCAAGUCUACAAAUAACAACAAGCAAUAGAGGGGUAGUAUGGUUAGAUCAAGUGUCAGCUAUGCCCUUGGAUACAUAUAAGGUAUGAUAUUUUUCUUUUUCUUUUUUCUAUGUUUUAUUUUGACAAAUUGGCAAUGCAAUUAUUUUAUUUUAAUUUUUUUAGGAAAAUUCUUUUAAAUGGACUAACUUCAUUAAUCAAUAUAUCUUGGCAUAGGGUCAUGGUUUUCGAAGCGACCUUUAUCAAAUGGCGGCAGAUCUGAAGCCAAAAACUUUUAGAUUUUCAGGUAGGGUACAAUAAUAAGUUAAAAUUGUUAAGGUUGAUUUGAAUGAUAUCUCCUAUUCUAGCACUGUCUUUUUUAACAUUUAUUCAUUUAUAGAAUAAGUAAAAGUUAUAUGAGACUCACCAUUUUAUAUAGGGUCUAUUUUCAAUAUGGUAGGAUCUACAUAAUUUUUACUCAAUAAAAAGAUAUUUGUUAAAAAAUGUAUGUUAGGCAAUAUUGCCAAAAAAAAAGCAUUGUUUCUUAGGCAAUAAUAAAUUUAAAAUAAUUAUAUUUUUACUAUUCAAUACUUAGUUCACAUGUUUUCAAAAAAAUGUUGAGUUCAUAUGUUAAAUUAAGAGUCGGAAAACAUAACACACAAAAAUCACUCAUAAGUUUUGUUAAUUUCUUUUACAAUCUCAUGCAAAAAUUCAUGCAUUUUUAUUAUAGGUGGGGAAGUUUGAUAUCCAUCUAUAUUAUAAAAUAAAAAAAUAAAAAAUUAUGUAAACCUAACACAAUUUUUUUUGUUUUGUUAUAGGUGGUUGUUAUGUAGAAGGAGAUUAUCUGAGAAAUGCAUUUAGAUGGAAAGAUACAGUUGGACCAUGGGAAGAGAGACCUGGCCACUUUAAUGACAUAUGGAAUUAUUGGACUGAUGAUGGAUUUGGUUAUUUUGAGGGGCUUCAAGUAAUUUUAUUUCCUUUCUAAAAUAUUAAUCCUUUCCUUAUCAAAAUGAAAAAUCUAAGUCUUAUUGUUUAUUGAAACAGCUAUCAGAGGAUCUUGGUGCAUUCCCAGUGUGGGUGUUUAACAGUGGUAUUGUUCUUCCUAAAAAAUCCAUUAUAAAGUCUAGUCCCUAAGUUAUUUAUUUUUCUUUCUUUUUAAUUGCUAAUUUAUCUAUUGUCUCUUAUAGGUAUUAGCCAUCAUGAUGAAGUUAAUACGUCUGAUAUUUCACCAUUUGUGCAAGUAUACUUUUCUUCACAGUAUUUUUCAUUUUUUUAUAGAAAUUAUUUUUUAUUCUUCAGCAGUAUUUUUAAUUUUAUUUAUUUAUUUAUUAUUAUUUAUAUUUACACUUUGGAUCAUUAAUUAAUAGGAAGCCCUAGAUGGUAUUGAGUUUGCUAGAGGUUCUUCCACAUCACAAUGGGGUUCUCUUAGAGCUUCCAUGGGACAUCCUGAGCCAUUUGAUUUGAGAUUUGUUGCCAUUGGAAAUGAAGACUGUCAUAAAUAUAACUAUCUAGGUAUAACUUUUUUAAGUUAAUUUGGAAGACAAAUUGAAUUUUUUUUUAUGUAUAUUUAAUCAAAAAAUAUUUGAUAAGUGAGGUGGUUGAGCAAUUAAUACACUUUAGUUUACUAAUUUGUAUUUUUUUUUUUAUUGAAUAGGAAACUACCUAAAGUUCUAUGAAGCUAUAAAACAUGAUUAUCCUGAUAUUCAAAUUAUCUCAAAUUGUGACGGUUCUAUACAUCAAUUAGAUCACCCAGCAGAUCUCUAUGAUUUUNAUGUAAUAGUCUUUCUUUUUUUUUGUUCUUCCAAUUUUUAAAGUUAUUAAUUUUGUAUUUCAGUUUAAGCCACUUACAUUUUAUAUAUCCUUGUUAAUAAUACUUUUUAUUUUUAUUAAUANAUUUAUACAGAUUCUAAGGACAUGUUUUCCGAUUAUACCAAGUUCGAUAACGCACCAAGAUCCGGUCCAAAGGUUUGAUUAAUAAUUCUUUAUAGAAAUAAAAAUUUCUUGAUAGGUGAAUUUUCUCAAGUUUUAUUAAUUUCUACAAUAAAUAUACAGGCAUUUGUUAGUGAGUAUGCUGUUUGGAAGGAAGAUGCUGGUGCUGGAAGCCUUUAUGCAGCUGUUGCUGAAGCUGCAUUUCUCAUUGGGCUUGAAAAGAAUAGGUUUGAUUAUAUAUAACUAUAGUUAUAUAGCUAUAUAGCCAUAGCUUUUCAUGAAAUUUGAUUUAUAAGGUUUAAUAUUAUGAACUAGUAUGUGUUAUUUUGAGCUAAGUUUUAAUCAUAUUUCAAUUUUAUACUUUUUCUGCAGUGAUAUUGUUAGCAUGGUUGCAUAUGCACCACUCUUUUUAAACACAAACGACAGAAAGUAAUUUUCCUAUGUUUUACCAUUUAUUUUUAUUUAUCAUUUAUAUAUGUAAUUUUUUUUUAUUUUAUGUAAAAGAUAGAGAUGAUUAUUUAAUCUAUUUUUCAUCAAAAUAGGUGGAUACCAGAUGCAAUUGUUUUUAACUCUUAUCAGAAUUAUGGAACUCCAAGUUAUUGGCUACAACANCUCUUUAUUGAAUCUAGUGGAGCAACAUUGCUUAAUUCAACUCUUCAAAAUUCUUCUAGCUCAAUUGUUGCAUCCGCAAUUGAGUAUAAAAAUUCUCAAGAUGGGAAGAAUUAUCUAAGAGUAAAGGUAAUGGUAACUUGAAUUUUUAUCAAAAGUGAAUGUUGAUUUAAAUCUUGAAAAAUGUUUAAUCUUUUUUUACGGUAAAUGCUAAGAAUGAAGAUUAUAACUCAAUUAAUUAACUUUGAAAUUAUUGACUUUUACAGGUAGUCNACUUUGGAAAUGCCACUGAGAACUUCAUGAUUUCAAUAAAUGGUUUAAAUUCAAUUGUUCAAUCGUCUAAUUCAUCAAUGGUGGUGCUUACGUCCUCCAAUAGAAUGGAUGAGAAUUCCUUCUCGGAGCCAAAUAAGGUUACAAAUUUUUUUCAUCACAAAAUAUUAUUAAAGUUUCACCCUUCGAACAUGAUGAUUUUCCUCCUUUUUGAAAUAUGUAGUUUGUCACAUGUGCCCAUUGAAAUAUGUUAGUAUUUGUGACGAGGACUAAAAAUUAUUUUCUAAAGAUAGAGACGAAAAACUUAUUUAACCACGUAGUCUUUGAUUGUGUUAAAACUAAAUAUAUGAUUAUUUUAUGUAUAUACAGAUUGUGCCCCAAAGAACUGCACUUGGAAAUGCAAGCAAUGACAUGGAUGUUAGACUUCCUCCUUAUUCAGUUACAUCAUUUGAUCUAUCAAUCUAAAAUACGAUGGUUGGAUGUUGUUUUGUAUUUUGAAAGAAGGGCGUAAUGUUGCUUAGAGUCGAAAUUGGGAGAAAUGUAUACAUUUCUCGGUUCAAAAAAUGUAUAUAUUUUUAUUUCAUAAAUAAAUUAUUUCACCUUUUUGUACCAACUUUUUUUAUUUCUCCUUUAUCUUAAUGUUGAUAUUCACUACCUACUAAAGUACCUUUAUUAUUACCAUUAGUUUGCACUUUCUAUUAGUAUAUGUGUAUCUGAAUUCUGAAUAACUUCGGAGAAAUUUUUCAAAGAAUAACGUAAGUUGUUCAAGAGAUUUGUAUGGUCUCUAGAUUACCUACAAUGUUGAUAUUUUUAUAUUAUAAGUUUUUAUUUGAAAUUGAACUCCUGAUCACGCAAUUUUAGGUAUGAGUUUUAAGUGUGUUUAUCACUUUAACUAAUAAAAAAAAUGUCCAGGGCUUCUUUAACUUUGGGGAGUUCUUCUCAAGCUAUGUCCGCUUACGAAGUUGGGGAGCUUGGCCAAUCUCUCCAUCGCCCUAACCUUUGAAAGAGGAUACUCUUUUUUGGCACUAAGAUAUCUUUCGCCCGAUUCGACAUCGGAAGAAGCCCCAUUAACGUAAAAAUAUGGUAGCUUUUAAAGGAAAAUAUGUUGAAAAUGUUUAUUGUUCCCCCUCCUUCAUCUUUAUAAGCAAUAAAGGAUUUUACCAUCUACUAGAAUUUGAUUAUGACUUACUGAUAUUGGUAAAGAAAACAGAGAUAGUACUUGUCUCUAAAAAUGUCAAUAUUUCCUUUAUGAAAGUGGUGGCAAACAAGACUCGAGAGUAACUUAAGUCCUUGGAAAAUUUGUCCCUUCAUCAAAAGCUAUACAAAAAUAAAAGCCACAUAGAGAGGUGCACCAUGUUCUAAGUAAACCCAACUUUGGUUAUUAUAGUUAAAAAAUAAUAAUUUCUCAAUCACUAAAAAAUAAAAUUAUCCAUCAAGGCCUUGGUCUUAUGAAGUUGCAACCAAUAAUUUUUUUUUUUCUUUCUUUCUUUUCUAGCCAUAGAGAAAGAUGACAUUGAUUGCAGGCAUUCCUUCAAGCUAUCUAUGGGGUUCACUUGAACGGUCCAAUUUUCUACCGAUAAGGCAUUCCUUCAAUUAUUAAUUGUGUUAAUGAAACAUAAAUGUUGAUUGAAAGCAAAAAAGGAAACCUAAUAUUAUUAAAAUGAUCAAGAAUGGUGACACACAUGGUUAUUGAGAAGACUUAAAUGUAAUCCAUUAGAUUAAGAUAAAAUUAAAGGUGGAGAUNUGGAGUAACUCCUUAGAGUUACUCUUGGAGUCAAUAUAUCCUUCCCAUAUAUAUAUAUAUGGAAUACAAGCUUUUUGUGUUACUUUUAUCUUUUGUAUAACUAUUUAAUUUACAACUUAAUCAUUCUUUAUUUAAUCAAAUAAGCAAAUUUUCGAUAUCUAUACCUUUAUGUAAAAAAUACUAAAUUUAAUUUGGUGUAACAUUUUUCUUUAUUUUGUUAAACCAUUUUCUCCCUCCUUUCUAUUUUAUUCUUCAAACUUCUAUUAUUUUUAUCGAUAAAAACGGAAAGGUGUAGUUGAUCACCUCAAGUUGGGAUUAUCCAAAAAAAAAAUUGCUGUAGUUUUUUUAUACAAAGAAAAACAAUUGCUGUAGUUGAUAUACUUCAAGUUGGGAUUAUCCAAUUUUUCAUAAACAAAGAAUGUAGGUACUAGGUAAGAGUUUUAAACUAGAACUAGAAUAUAAAAUUAAAUUAAGGAAUGUUUUUAAUCCAAUUUUUCAUAAACAAAGAAUGUAGGUAC